AUUUGUCUGGUUAAUUCCGAUAACGAACGAGACCUUAACCUGCUAACUAGAUUCUUUUAUUUUAUAACUGAUAUCUUCUUAGAGGGACUAUGUAAUCUAAAUACAUGGAAGUUUGAGGCAAUAACAGGUCAGUGAUGCCCUUAUAUGUCCUGGGCUGCACGCGUGCUACACUGAUGCAUACAACAAGUGCCUAACCAGACAUGGUAUGGCAAUCUCGAAUAUGCAUCGUGAUGGGGAUAGAUCUUUGCAAUUAUAGAUCUUGAACGAGGAAUUCCUAGUAAGUGCAAGUCAUCAUCUUGCAUUGAUUAUGUCCCUGCCCUUUGUACACACCGCCCGUCGCUCCUACCGAUACCGGGUGAUCCGGUGAACCUUUUGGACUCAUUUGGGAAAGAUAAGUAAACCAUAUCACCUAGAGGAAGGAGAAGUCGUAACAAGGUUUCCGUAGGUGAACCUGCRGAAGGAUCA
rnacentral:rRNA from 1 species